rnacentral:rRNA from 1 species
UACGGAGGGUGCAAGCGUUAUCCGGAUUCACUGGGUUUAAAGGGUGCGUAGGUGGGGUGGUAAGUCAGUGGUGAAAUCUCCAAGCUUAACUUGGAAACUGCCGUUGAUACUAUCAUUCUUGAAUAUCGUGGAGGUAAGCGGAAUAUGUCAUGUAGCGGUGAAAUGCUUAGAUAUGACAUAGAACACCGAUUGCGAAGGCAGCUUGCUACACGAUCAUUGACACUGAGGCACGAAAGCGUGGGGAUCAAACAGG